AUUGAACGCUAGCGGGAUGCUUUACACAUGCAAGUCGAACGAGUGGCGGACGGGUGAGUAAUAUAUCGGAACGUGCCCAGUAGCGGGGGAUAACUACUCGAAAGAGUGGCACAUACCGAAUACUAUUGGAGCAGCUGCUAUCGGAGUAGCAAGUUGGUGGGGUAAAGGCUCACCAAGGAAACGAUCCGUAGCUGGUUUGAGAGGACGACCGGGCGCACUGGGACAGGGGCACGGCCCAGACGCCAACACGAGGCAGCAGUGGAGAAUUGUGGACAAUUGGGGAAACCCGGAAGCAGCCAUCCCGCGUGUAUGAGAAGGCCUUCGGGUUGUAAAGUACUUUUGGCAGAGAAGCGGUAUCUGCAGAAUAAGCACCGGCUAACUACGUGCCAGCAGCCGCGGUAAUUC
rnacentral:rRNA from 1 species